GACGAACGCUGGCGGCGUGCUUAACACAUGCAAGUCGAACGGAAAGGCCCUGCUUUUGUGGGGUGCUCGAGUGGCGAACGGGUGAGUAACCCGUGAGUAACCUGCCCUUGACUUUGGGAUAACUUCAGGAAACUGGGGCUAAUACCGGAUAGGUGCUCCUACUGCAUGGUGGGGGUAGGAAAGUUACGGCGGUUGGGGAUGGACUCGCGGCUACUCACCUUGUUGGUGGGGUAGUGGCUUACCAAGGCUUUGACGGGUAGCCGGCCUGAGAGGGUGAACGGCCACAAUGGGACUGGGGUACGGCCCAUACUCCUACGGGGGGCAACAGGUGGGAAUAUUGCACAAUGGGCGGAAGCCUGAGACAGAGACGCCGCGUGCGGAAUAACGGCCUUCUAGGAAUAAACCGCUUUCGCAUGUGACAAGGCGUGAGUGACGGUAAUGGGUGAAGAAGCACCGGCUAACUACGUG
rnacentral:rRNA from 1 species